CGCAGGGUGUAGCUUUAUACGACCGCAGAGGUUGAACCCUGAACGGUUGGGGCAAGUAUGGACACAACAUUCAAGCUGGAUUCAGCUCUAAAUUUGGAUUGUGAUUAAAUAGUUGACACAGCAUAGGUUUCUGACACAGAAUGAAUGUGUUCUAAUGAACUUAAAAUUUUUGUUUUCUCUUAGAGCAAUUCACUAUGCUGUUGAAUAUUAAUCCUCUCAAAAAAAUGUUUGAAGAAAUUUUCUUUUUUAUUUAUGAAAUUUCAAAUGAGAACCAGAUGCUCCGCAGGGCGUAGCUUUAUACGACCGCAGAGGUUGAACCCUGAACGGUUGGGGCAAGUAUGGACACAACAUUCAAGCUGGAUUCAGCUCUAAAUUUGGAUUGUGAUUAAAUAGUUGACACAGCAUAGGUUUCUGACACAGAAUGAAUGUGUUCUAAUGAACUUAAAAUUUUUGUUUUCUCUUAGAGCAAUUCACUAUGCUGUUGAAUAUUAAU
rnacentral:lncRNA from 1 species